rnacentral:rRNA from 1 species
CGGGGUGAGUAAUGUCUGGGAAACUGCCUGAUGGAGGGGGAUAACUACUGGAAACGGUAGCUAAUACCGCAUAACGUCGCAAGACCAAAGAGGGGGACCUUCGGGCCUCUUGCCAUCGGAUGUGCCCAGAUGGGAUUAGCUAGUAGAUGGGGUAACGGCUCACCUAGGCGACGAUCCCUAGCUGGUCUGAGAGGAUGACCAGCCACACUGGAACUGAGACGCGGUCCAG